rnacentral:rRNA from 1 species
AUUGAACGCUGGCGGCAGGCCUAACACAUGCAAGUCGAGCGAGCGGCGGACGGGUGAGUAAUGUCUGGGAAACUGCCUGAUGGAGGGGGAUAACUACUGGAAACGGUAGCUAAUACCGCAUACCAUCAGAUGUGCCCAGAGGGGAUUGGCUGGUAGGUGGGGUCAAGGCCUACCAAGGCGACGCUCCGGAACUGGUCUGAGAGGAUGAUCAGUCAAACGGGAACUGAGACACGGUCCAGACUCCUCCGGGAGGCAGCAGUGGGGAAUAUUGGACAAUGGGGGAAAGCCUGAUCCAGCCAUGCCGCGUGUGUGAAGAAGGUCUUCGGAUUGUAAAGCCCUUUAAGUUGGGAGGCGUUACCAACAGAAUAAGCACCGGCUAACUUCGUGCCAGCAGCCGCGGUAAUAC